rnacentral:lncRNA from 1 species
GCGCCUACUACGUGCCAGGAGUCCUUCAUUCAUUCAUUCUUACAACAGUCCUAGGUUUAGCUAUCACCUCAGUUUUCCCAUAUGAUGCGUUUAGAAACUGGGAGCACUGAAGCUAAGGAACAUGCUCAAGGUCACCCAGGUGGCUGGAGAUGGAACCAGGAUUAGGCUCCAGAGCCAGCAUCCCUAACCACUAAACGAGACAGCCUUGACUCCCACGUCCCCGACCUUGCCGGCUGCGGGCUCGCGGCUGCGGCGGAGCUCCCGGCGCCCGCGGGCCCUGGGCGGGCGCGCGCACAGCGCCAGGCUCGCCCCUGCGCGGGUCCCAGGAGAUUGGCCUGAGAAGAGAGGAGCAGACAUUUCAAGGGAAUUAAGAUUUCAAGCUCCUUGAGAGUAGAGACUUUAUUUUUGGUUCUCUACAGUAUAUUCACUCAAUAUUCAUUGAAUUGGAAAAUUCCAACAGGUAAACUAAUGCUUGUUUUGAUUCUCAUUUCCAAGGCUGUAACUGAAAUAAAAUGUUAUGUGUAUAUAUAUAAAAUGAUGUAUAUUAUAAACGUAUUCUAAACACCAUAAAUUCAGUG